UACGGAAGGUGCGAGCGUUGUUCGGAUUGAUUGGGCGUAAAGCGCAUGUAGGCGGGUUUGUAAGUCGGAUGUGAAAUCCCCGGGCUUAACCUGGGAACUGCGUUUGAAACUACAAGGCUAGAGUGUGGCAGAGGGGGUGGAAUUCCACGUGUAGCAGUGAAAUGCGUAGAGAUGUGGAGGAACACCGAUGGCGAAGGCAGCCCCCUGGGUUAACACUGACGCUCAGGCACGAAAGCGUGGGAGCAAACAGG
rnacentral:rRNA from 1 species